UGACUUCCUGGAAAGACUGGAUUUGCAUCAGUAUCAGUGUUUAUGAUUGGUACCGUCGAGCUUUUUUCAAUGCAAACACUACUGGGUUAGGCAAAGCAGAACAGGACACAACUGUACGAGCAGACGACACCACAGACGAUGGAUGUGAAAACAAUAUCAUCUGUAGGUCUUUUGCUUUGUCAUCUUCUUAUAGCCGGUGUUUGCCUUGAUUGUGCUUCUGAUGAUCUGUGUGCAUUGUGCCUAAAACCAGAUCCAUCGUGUCCACAAGUUUGUGUAUCGUGCUUAAAUUUAGCUGUUUCCAUUACAGCUUUUCUAGCAUCUGUUCCAUCAAGCUGCAGAAAAGAAUUCUCUGUGAAUAUCACCAGCUCCAAUUCAAACCCGAAGGAGGGUGACAGCGUCAAUUUAACGUGUGUCAAUAACCUUCCUGAUAAAGAUCUGUCGUUCAGAUGGAGCAAGGAUGGAGUAAAGAAAGGUGGAAACAACAGCAACCUUGUUCUCAAUAAUGUGCUUUCAUCUGCUACUGGCUCGUACAACUGCUCUGUGGACAGCGUGUGUGGCAGUUAUUCUGCCCAGUACUCUCUCACUGUGCCCAACAACAGCGUGAUCAUCCUGGUGGUCUGUGGAGUUGCAGCUUUGGUUCUGGUUCUGAUUAUGGGUCUGGCCAUGAAGUUCAAACUGAAAAGAGACAACGCUAAACACAGAGAGAGGAGGAAGCAGAGGGAACAGAUUGGGCAAAGCGGCGGCCAAGCGCCAUUCACAAUACGACAGACCUAAAUAAGAAGCAAUCACAUCUACAGUUACUUCGUAAUAACAGAGUUGCAUAAUCAGCUGUCAUAGUAUUUGCAAUAGGAAUAAAAUGUCAUUAAUCGCUGCA
ensembl:lncRNA